AAUCAUACAAAUAAAAAUACAGUAGAACAAUAUUUACAUAGCUUUCACACUGUAUCAGGUAUUAUAAGUAAUCUAGAGACUUAAAGUAUGAGGGAGGAUGUACUUAGGUUAAAUGCAAGUACACGCCAUUUGACUUUAUUUUUGUAGAGACGGUCUCACUCUGUCACCCAGGCUGGAGUGCAGUGGCACAAUCACAGCUCACUGCAGCUUUGACCUCCCAGGCCCAAAUGACCCUCCUACCUCAGCCUCCAGAGUAGCUGGGACUACAGGCAUGAGCCACUACAUCCGGCUAAUUUUUUUUUUUUUUUUUUUUUUUGGUAUUUUUUGUGAAGAUGGGGUUUUGCCAUGUUGCCCAGGCUGGUCUUGAACUCCUGGGCUCAAGCAAACCACCCACUUCAGCCUCCCUGAGUGCUGGGAUUAUACUAUGCCAUUUUAUAUGAGGGAUUUGAGCAUCUCUGGAUUUGGGUACCUAUGAGGGAUCCUGGAACCAAUGCCCUGAAGAUACCAAGGGACGACUGACUAUACUGUUUCUACUCUUCCAACAUUCACCUAUGAUCAGCCUUACCCUAGCGAAACCCCUGCACUCCCAAAACCUCACUGAGUGGGCCUCUCAUGAACGCUGACACUGUCAUCCAGCACCCCUAUGGGGUUUUAUUUAUGGUUGCUUUAAAAAGAAGCACUUUGAAAGCUUCGAAAGAAAGAUGCUGAACAACCAGACCAGAUUAUGAAUUUUGUGUUCAAAUGAGUUAAUUUCCCUUAAUAGGGGUCAAAUCAUUUUUAUUUCCCUGCAACCUAAAGAAACUGUGCUGAGCUUUAAUGUAGACACACUUUACCCACCUCACCCCCGGCCACAGGAAAGCUGACGUCAUCAAGAGAACUGAGGGUGUUCGCAGCAAGGAACACGGAGUUACUCUGAAACAUUCUCCAGAGCAAGAGUUCUUAACCUGGGCUACAGGAAAUCUUCACAACCCUUAAAUUACACGUGUGACUUCCCAUCAAUGCGCAGCUCUGUCCAAGUCCUUGGCUUUCAUCAGACUCUCAAAGGAGCCUCAGAAAGCCAGAAUUUUGUCUCAGUUUCUCUCAUCAUUGAUUUUAAGGGUUAUCCCGCCUAGUUCUUCUUUCCUUGUUUUCAGUGAAACUGUGACCUGCUCCAAAAACACGCAGUCAGUGAAAUUUAGUUCCCAAAUAUUUUAUGAUAAUAUAGCAGUGGGCUACAUAUAAAAUAAAUGGUAAAAGGUCCUAUUCCUUGGUCUUACUCAUAACUAAAUAAUUAACUUACUGGAUUUCAUUUUUGAGGUUUUUAUUGAAAAUAUUUCUUCCUAAAACACAGUAUCUUCUCUCUCCUUGUGAGAUGUCAAAAAAAAAAAUUUGUAUUGAAACAAAUCAGUGAAUUUGUCGUAUUUCUUUCUUAACCUUUCUAACUGUAGAGGAACAUGGCAUACAGAGGACUUAUCUUUGAACACGUUUUUACUAAAUAAAUAUUCAUCGAUUCACUCAGUACAUUUUUAUUGAGUCCUUUUUUCCAGGCACCAGUUUAGGUACAGGGGAUUCCAAAGCAAACAAAAGAAAAUCAAUUGCUCCCAAGAAGCUUGCAUUCCAGCAGGGAACACAGAUUAUAAACCAUAAACUAGACAGAACAGGAGGCGGGGAGCGGAUAGUAAUAAGCACUGUAUUAGUUUUCUGGCUUAAAGCGACAGAAAUUUACUGUCUCAUUGUUCUGGAGGACAGAAGUCCAAAAUCAAAGUGUGGGCAGGGCCCCACUCCCUCUGAAGGCUUAGGGGAGAGUCCCUCCUUGCCCCUCCUACAUUCCUGUGGCUGCCAGCAAUCCCUGCCAUUCCUUGGCUUUGUAGAUCCAUCACUGCAAUUUCUGCCUUCACAGUCACAUGGCAGCAUUCUUCCUGUGUAUCUGUCUCUGCGUCUAAAUUUCCCUUGUGUUAAAUGGACAGCAAUCAUUGGAUUAGGGCCCACCCUAAUCCAGUACAACCUCAUCUUACCUUGAUUACCUCUGCAAAGACAUUCUUUCCAAAUAAGGUCAUAUUCACAUGCAAUGGAGGUUAGGACUUUAACAUAUCUUUUGGGAUAUGUUAAAUUUAACACAUAACAUGUGUUUUGAAAACAAAAUUAAGUGGCCAUAUGGGAGACAGAGAGUGAUGGGUGCUGGCAUGUCCAGGAGGGCCUCUUGGAAAAGAUGCCAUUGAAGCAGAAACCAAAAUGAAGUGAAGGAAUGAGCCAUGGGGACAUUUGGUGAAGGGGGUACAGGCAGAGACCCCGAGGCAGAGGUGCUGAGCCCCUGUGCCUAUACUCCUGACUCUCAGAAACUACAAGAUAAUAAAUGCUUGCUUUGUAAGCCAUUAUGUUUUACAGUAAUUUGUUUGCGGCAAUAUAAAAUGUAUGCGAUUACCCAAUAGUGGCCUUGCCUGUUGUGUUAGUUUUCGGUUGCUGCAUAACAAAUUGCCAUAAACUCAGCAGCUUAAAGCUUAACUCACAGUUUCUAUAGGUCACAAGUCUAUGCUCAGGGUCACACGAGGCUGAGAUCUUGGUGCUGGCAGGGCUGUGCUCCUUGUUGGAGCUCAGAGGCCUCUUUCAAGCUUUUGUGGCUGUUGGUAGAAUUCAGUUCCUUGCAGUUGUUGGACAUAUGCCCCCUUUUCUUGCUUGUUGGCUGGGGGCCACUCAUACCUCCUGGAGGCUGCCCACAGCUCCUGGCUGGGAGGACCCCUGCGAAGGCCUCUAAUUCUUCGAAUUCCUUGGACAUCGUCUAUCUCUGAUCUUUAGACCCAGAAUCAAAGGACUCAUGUGAUUAGGUCAGGCCCACUCAGAAUAAUCCCCCUUUCGGCAAACUUGAAGUCAACUGAUUAGUAAACUUAAUUACAAUUGGUGUGGACACAACAGUGACUCCAUCUUGGACGCUAAUCUGCCAUGUUGAAUUCUGAUUAGCCCUAGUCCUGUGAAUGUCCCCUGAUUUCUACUUUGUUUACUGUCCCUAGUGUAAGAACAUGUCAACCUUGAUGCUACUCCACAAAUAAUAGGCGUCAUAAUAGGAAAUGGCGCAUACAGCAUGCCUGCCGUUCUGUAGGGCUGCCUCCCACUGUCUCCCUGGAGCACAUACCCCUUUCCCAGCGGUAUAAGAGCCCUUGGUCUGUUGAGUAACAGAGUGGAGAUCUACCUGUCCUGCAGCCACCCAAGACCACGCUUCUGUCUGUAAGUUCCCCAAUAAAUCAACCUUUACUGACAAUCUGGAUUUGUGUGCCUCUUCUUUGGUUUUUUGGCUCCUUUGGUAUUUGGGGGCCGCUUUGCCCUUUCACUGAACAAAUGGCAAAUUCCCUUAUCUAUAUAAUGUAACAUAAUCAUGAGAGUAAUACCGCAUCAUAUCCACGGACCUGCCUACACUUAAGGGAAGAGAAUACAAAGCGUGUGCGCUGGGGGCAGGAAUCUCGGGGCUGUCUUAGAUUCUGCCUGCCGUGCUCCUCUUCCACUGUGGCGCUGUAACCAGCAGCAUUCUGUGAACUCCACAAGGGCCCUGGAUGUGCGUGGUGUGUGCCUGUCAACAACAUGGGCGGGGCCACUUUGGCCAGAUCAGAGACAGUGCCAGGGCCCACUGGCUCUGUGCCAGCCACCAUGCUAGGGACCUCCUAGGUGCAAUGUCAUCUCAUCCUCCCUUUGGUGCAGACACUGUUAACUUCUCUGUUAUGCAGGUGAGAACACUAAGACUCACAUGACUUAAACUACUUCUCUGAGAUUCCAAAUAUAAAGUGGUAGAGCCAGGGUUUGAACCCAAAGUGUCAGAAAGUCAGGUUUCCAAUCCUAGCUUUGUUAUUUUCUACCUGUGUUACCCAACUCCUCUGGCCUCACUUUGCCCAUCCCUAUAGUAGGGUUAACAGAAUAUGUGGCUUCGGAUAUUCUCAGGGGCUGUGGAAGGGGCUCUGUAAGCAAUGACGGCUGGAUCUGCCUCAUGGAAACAGUAAAGCGCCAUAAGAGGCUGAGAGAUAGCGGCUGUUGACAUGACUUUGAAGCACUUUUAUUUCUAUUUACUGGAAGAGGUUGUUUUCAGGGCAACCCAAGGAUUCAGAAAACAACGAAACCAUGAAGUCAUCUUGGGGCUCACAGAGCUCUGAGCAGGAGAAACAGGGACUGGGGUUUGGGGAAGGCAUCAACUCAUGCUAUGGCAGAGGCAGAGAGGCUUGUCAGGCAUGGAUCUUCCCUGCCCCACUGGAGUCACAGAAUCUUCUAGUUUUACCCAUAUUUAUGCAGGGUGCUGAGUCACCAAUGUAACCCAGCAAUCCAUCUUGACUGAAAACAAAUGGCUUGUUUAAAUGAAAAGCAGACAGCAGAAGCAGAACGUCCUCAAAAGAGUGUCUUUCAUGUCUCCUUAUUAGGCGCCAGUGGGUCUUUUAGACAGUUUGUACCCAAAGGGAGAAGUGGUUAAUCACUGUGCAUGUUGCCUAAUCAGGAAGCAAAAACCUUGAAGGACACCCGAAGUUCGUGUUAGAAAUGCAAAACAGCCUGAACCCUCUGCGAGUGAAAACAUGUAUGUGUGCAACUGUCAACGUACCCCUCCUUCCUUCCCGCUCUUCCCUGGAGAAGGUAGAAUAGGGAGAGGAAAGCCUUGUUGAAAUACAGCCCGAGUCAUUUGCUUCACAGGCUGGGAUUCUUUCGGAUGCUGGUGCUAAUGGGUGAAGUCUGCCACUCUGAUGCUUGCGAGAGCCGUAGGAGACAGGUCAGGUUCCAGACCCGGACUCUGGAGGUCCUAAUCCUGCUGCCCUGGAUCCACCGGUCACCUCGGAGUCUUCACAGUUUCCCUCCGCAGGAGCCAGAAGGAGUUCUCAAAUAGUGAAAUGCUGGUGCAGGGCCCAGUCUCCCAGAGCUCCUGAACCUGGUGCACCUCCCACCCGCAAGCCCAUCCCAAGAUCCCACUAACACCAUUGCAACCCAGUUUGAAAGCACCAGGCCUGUGAGCAUUCUUUCAUUAUUAACAAUUGAAAAUGACCCCAGAUAUUUUUCAGCCUCCUGCUUUGCAUGGCACGUCUCUGUGUUGUCUCAUAUGCAGUCAGCAGUGGUGUCUCCCUUAUGCUGUGUUCAACAGCUCAAACCCAAAAGGAAACUUCACAGGGAAAAUGAACAAGGUAAGUCAAAAUGUAAUGGUCACGGAUAAUACCUACUCUAGGUAUCUAGUCAACAAGGAUGCAAAAAGCCUGCUUUUCACAGGUUGGACUGUGUGAAUCCAUCUUUGUAUAAUAUGUCAGGGAUAUCCACAGACAUUCUUAACAUCAACAUUAAAUGUGGGCUGGGCUGGCACGGUGGCUCACGGCUGUAAUCUGCAGACAAACAAAGCAGUGAUGGAGGCCCAGGAGGACUAUGGUGGGGACUUGGGAGGCAUCCAGAAUGGGCCCAGAGCCACGGACAGGGUGUCCAAUCAUUGGAACUGGACAAAGUGAAGGACCUGUGCCAGACAGAGCCUGUCAGUGAGGGUGCAAACACCUUCUGAGACAGCAGACCCCAAGGAGAAGACACAAAGGGCCAGGACCCACGGUGAGUCUAAGCAGACCUACAGGUAAACCAGCCCCCCAAGUCCAUGGCUGUUGGGGCCUUCAGACUAUAAAUGAGGUUUCCCAUAGGACAUACCCACUCUGCACUGCAGCAGAGCCGGUGAAGCACGUGGUAGGCCGGGUCUGCUGAAGGCCGGGAGGAGGAGGGUUGAACAAACAGAGAAAAACAAAAAACAGCACAGGCCUGCUCUGGGCCGGCGCCGAAUGAUCAUGUCACUCCUUCCCCCUGGGCUGCAGCCUGUCCUGGCAGUCAGGUCUCAGCCUGGAGGAUAUUUUCCAGUCCUGGGCGAGGGUGGUUUCCGGCCUACCAAAUGACUGACAGUUCUUUAGGCCUCAGGCUUCCUGGGUGCCCCACACCACUGCAGCCUGCACACCAGGGCAGCAGCUGGUGCGUGCACUCCAGGGACUUGAUCAGAAACCAGGGGACCCCAGGGUACAUCUGCAGGCUGGCUUCAGGGGCAGCAGAAGCCAUGGAUAUAGCCUAUUCCUCCCCAUCCAACCAAGGAACAUCCCCCUGGGCAGGCAUGAGCAAAGAGCAAUGCCUGGGCCAACAAGGAACUCCGUGGGAGGUGGGAAGUAGGGUCUGGAUGGGAGCAAGAGGCCUGGUGUGGGGCUGUGGUCACUCCUGACCAUAUUAACGCAAUUAUGUGUGGAAUAAAGCAAGGAUUUAACACUGCUGUUUCUAAUUCUCACUAAUGACGACAAGAUUUUACUUAAUUUAUACUUCUUCCCUCACAAUGAAAACCUUCUCAAAGAUAUUAAUACAAUUACUUAUGGUCACAUAUGUAAAUUUGUAUAUAUCAUAGUUUCAAAACAAUACCAUUUUUAUUACCAACAAUGAGACUACUGAACACAGUUUAGGUUUUAUUUGUGGUUCUUUUUGUCUCUUUGUCCCACUUGGAAUGCACGAAUUACUGCGUUCAAAGUCACUUGAAACAAUUCUCUGUGAGGUUAAGCCAUCAAUUUUGUAUACAGGACCGUUUGUUUUCAAUAUUAAGAGAUGAUUUUUAUUCGUUUUAGUUUAAUUUUGUUUUCUAGUUAAAAAACACUUGCAGCGUUGCAAAGCCAGCUUAUAAAACAGGGUACAUUUCUGUUUGUAGCCUUGUGGUUUAUUCUUCCAUUGUCUCCUUUUCAAAAUAAAAGCAAAUAUGUAGACACACUCCUAUUUCCUCCUUUUUCUUAUAUAAAAGGCAGCAUAUUCUCUACACAGUUCUGCACCUGGGCUCCUCCAGUCGGCAAUAUCCUGACAGUAACUUUGUGGUGAUAGUAGAGUCCCUCCUCAUUGCCUCUUACAGCCCCACACAACACCACAGAGUGGGCGGACACUGUCCAGCCAGUCCCUUGGAUGGAUCCUUGAGAAACUUCCGAUCUUUAGCUUUACAAAGAGUGCUGCAAGGUACAGUCCUGUUCACGUGUAAGUUCAUGCUUUUGGGAAGACUCCAUUUUGAAUCCUCCCCCUCACUGUGAAACCGUUAGCUGGCCACUUCCCGUGCAAAGCCUCAGGUCCCUGCUCUGUAAGACGCUGAUAAUAAUAGUUUCUAGCUCACAGCUCAAAAGGGCCUGGUGCAUGGUCGACAGUCAAUAAAUGUUUGCUGUUUUCUUUCAUCUGAGAAUCUUGAUUCCUCAUUAGUUUAGAAUUCUAGGUUGAUAGUUCUUUUCUCUCAGCGUUUGAAAACUUCUUAUGCCACUUCCUCUGGCCUCCAUAGUUCCUGAGGAGCGAUCUGCUGUCAUUGACAUUGCUGUCUCCCCAUAAGUAAAGUGUUGCUUCUCCCUGGCUGCUUUCAAGUUUGUUUCUUUGUCAUCAGAUUUCGGAAAGUGGAUUUGUGUUGAUGUGGAUUUCUUUUUGUUUAUCGUAUUUUGGAUUUGCUCAGCUUCUUGAGAACUGUGGGUUUGUGUUUUUUGCCAAGUUUGGAACAUUUCAACUAUUAUUUCUUCAAUUCUUGUCAGCUCAUCCCCUUCACCUCUCCUUCUAGCAUUCUGAUGACACAAAUGUUAGAUCGUCUAUGAUAGUCCCAUGGGUCUCUGAGGCUCCGUUCUCUCUUUUUAUUUUUUCUUCUUCUUCUUCUUCUUCUUCCUUUGGUCUAUUUUCUCUCUGUUGUUCAGAUUGGGAAAUUUCUGUUAUAUCCUAUCUUCCAGUUUACUGAUUCUUUUCUCUGUCAUCUCUGUCCUGCUGUUGAUACCAUCUUUUGAGUUUUUAAUUUUGGUUUUUGCAUUUUUCAGUUCUAAAGCCCUCAUUUUGUUUGUAUCUUUUCCAUUUCUGUAUUAAGACUCUAUUCUUAAUUUCUCAUUUGUUCCAAACACAUCUGUAAUUGCUCACUGAAGCAUUUUUAUAAUGGCUGUUUUACAGUCCUUUCCAGAUAAUUCCAACAUCUCUGCCAUCUCAGUGUUGGUGUGUGCUGUUUUUCUUUUAAUCCAAGGUGAAAUUUUCCUGGUUCUUGUUAUGACAAGUAGUUGUUCAUUGAAACUUAGACAUUUUGAGUAUUAUAAAAUAUUCAGAGUCUGGAUCUUGUUUAAUCUAUCUUAGCCAGCUCCCAUGACACCACUCUGGCAGGAAAAGAUGGGGGGUGCCACUGUGUUGCUGUCACGUGGGGUGGACACCAGGUUCCCCACUUGGUCUUUGUUGAUAUCCAAAGAAGAAAGAGGUUCUUUGGUACUGCUGUGGGGAGUUCCCGGGAGUUCUAUCUCCUCACUACUGAUACCAUCGUGGCCGGGAGAGGCCACUCCACCAACACCAUGGAGAAGGGCUGGUAUUUGGUUAGGGCAGAGCAGUUCUUACCUAAACAAGUGCAUCUGGCGAGGCUAGCCCUCUCCCGAUCCUUUGGCUAGAGAGCAGGCUUUUGUUGUGAGGUCACCACUGUGUCAUUCCUUGUGUCCCAGGGUCCCUAGCUGCCUGCCUUCUUCUCCCCAUCAUAACAGUCUUCUUAUGUUUGUUUUAUAUAUAAUGUCCAGGGCUUUCAGUUGCACUUAGGAGGAACAGAGAAAAUAUUUCUCCUCUUUUUCCAGGACUGGAAGUUACUUGAAGCCUUUAAAAAUAUGUUUCAGAUGCCAAAGUGAAACAAAAAUAACACAAGGUCAAGUACCUUUCCCUCUCUGGGAUUCAGUUUCCCCAUCUUUAAAAAAUUGGUCUAGAUCCCAGCUUCUCC
rnacentral:lncRNA from 1 species